rnacentral:rRNA from 1 species
GUGCCAGCCGCCGCGGUAAUACGUAGGUGGCAAGCGUUGUCCGGAAUUACUGGGCGUAAAGGGCGUGUAGGCGGCCUUUUAAGUCAGACGUGAAAUCCCUGGGCUUAACCCAGGAACUGCGUUUGAAACUGAGAGGCUUGAGGAUCGGAGAGGGCAGUGGAAUUCCCAGUGUAGCGGUGAAAUGCGUAGAUAUUGGGAGGAACACCAGUGGCGAAGGCGACUGUCUGGACGACACCUGACGCUGAGGCGCGAAAGCUAGGGGAGCAAACGGGAUUAGAAACCCCCGUAGUCC